UGAGGAAUAUUGCGCAAUGGGGGCAACCCUGACGCAGCGACGCCGCGUGAGUGAGGAAGGUCUUCGGAUCGUAAAGCUCUGUCAAGAGGGAAGAAGUGCAAGGCAGCGAAUAACUGUUUUGUUUGACGGUACCUCUAAAGGAAGCACCGGCUAACUCCGUGCCAGCAGCCGCGGUAAUACGGAGGGUGCGAGCGUUGUUCGGAAUCACUGGGCGUAAAGGGCGCGCAGGCGGGCUGUCAAGUCAGAUGUGAAAUCCCACGGCUUAACUGUGGACGUGCAUUUGAAACUGGCAGUCUUGAGUACCAGAGGGGAAUGUGGAAUUCCCGGUGUAGAGGUGAAAUUCGUAGAUAUCGGGAGGAAUACCGGUGGCGAAGGCGACAUUCUGGCUGGAUACUGACGCUGAGGCGCGAAAGCGUGGGGAGCAAACAGGAUUAGAUACCCUGGUAGUCCACGCCGUAAACGAUGUGAACUAGAUGCAGGGGGUGUUGAUCCCCUCUGUGUCGCAGCUAACGCAUUAAGUUCACCGCCUGGGGAGUACGGUCGCAAGAUUA
rnacentral:rRNA from 1 species